CGGGGAAGCCCCGCUCGCCGGCAGCCCGGGCAACCCCGACCGAGCUCCGAAGAUCGCCGCGGAGGCGCCGCCGCCGCUCCGGCCGGCUUCCUAGGGGGCGCUCGGGCGCAGGCGAGCUCGGCGGCCCGGGGACUCUUUGCCGGCUCUGGGCGGAAGGAACGCGCCCAGCCCGGGGAAGGGCCGGCGCGGCCCGGGGCGCGGAGUCCGGGCGGGGGCUGCGGGGCGCGGCGGGGGCUGCGGGGGCUGCGGGGCGCGGCCGCCACCCUGCCCCGCGGAGAGCCUGCGGCCGCCCGGCCGCUCCGUCUCGCGGCUCCUCCGCCGGCGUGGGGCGGGUGUGGCGGCCGUGCCCGCCGAGCAGCCGGGGGCUGGAGCGGGGCGCCCGCAGGCUCGGGGCCCCCGACUGGCAGUCGUCUGGCCGCUGCGCUCUGGGUUUCUGGAUCCCGGAGCUGGGCCCCGACCCCCUAGAGGCACUGAGGCCGCCGAGGUGAUUUCCGGGGCUGAGCGGUGCAGCUGUAUUUUGCUAAAAGUUAGGAAGUGGGUGCUGCCCGUGGUGAAAUUAAACUACCAGCGGGGCCUUGUCCAAGGCGGGGGUGCUUGCUCAGUCCGCGCUGACCCGUGGUCCGGGCUUGGAGCCGAGCUGUAGGGAGGGCGGAGUCCCCGCGCAGAGGUCAAUGCAGAAUGGAUCAAAGCAGAAAAUAAGCCUGUCUGGCCAAAGCAAGACUCGACUGAAAGCAGUAACAUACCUAAAGCAGGAAUGUCUCAAUCAGGAAUUGAGCCAAAAAAAAAAAAAAAAAAAAACACUUGGGAAGUAAAUAUCUGGCAGGAUCCCUGUUUAAAGGGGAAAGUCUUCUGAGCAG
rnacentral:lncRNA from 1 species